rnacentral:lncRNA from 1 species
UAGCUCAGUAUAUGAAGCCCAUCCAAAAAUAAACUCCAACAUUCAUAUGAGAUAAAUCAAAUACUCUACCCUAAGGUUAAGGAAAAGAAAUAUCAGCUAACUCGACAGCAGAAUUGCUGACUUCUAAAUUACAACUUAAAUAUUGAAAAUAUAUUAAUUCGUAUUACGUAUCUAAGCCCUAGCUAAGCUAUGUUUACAUGCAAGUGUGAACUGAAAAUUUUCCCAAAACCUUGAACCAUGAGAAAAAAAAAAGGCUUAGGCAAAAUGAUUACAUAUUUCUUUUCGGUGGGUGACUUUCUAGCAAACUUAUAUUUCUUUUUUCUACCAAUAUUAUAAAAUUCUUAUUCUUGGCUUGAGUUGAGUCUUCACUCAUGUCGUGCUUCUAUAUUAGGGGGGUCUAGACCACGCCAAAUAUAUCCAAAACUGGGUAAAUAUUAUUUAGAAGACAAAAAGUUGCCUAAAUUCCACCGAUUUGGGGCCCUUUGCUUUGAAUUUCAUGCCUUAAUGUUGUUUCAAUUCAUUUGAAAUUCUAGUUGCUUCCUUCCCUCCUUUUUCUUUUUUUCUUUAUUUUACCAACCGAAAGAGAUUCAUUCUCUUUUCUACUCCAACGGUCGAAAGCAUGCCCUCAUGUGGGUUCACAAAUCUCACAUCCAAAGGUCAUCAUAUCACCAAAUAAAUUUUGUUGAAGAUCUCAGCCGUUGAGUUAAUUCCAAGGUUUUGACCAUAACUAUGCCUAAUUGAAUUGUCUUAAACGGCGGGUUAUUCAAAUAUACUUUAUUCUUUUUGAAUAUAAUGAUUGCUUCACCUAAUUUACCUGCCUACAGCAUACUUCUUGGUUUCUCUAUGGGCAGCAAGUAAUGCAAUUUGUUUUAAUAACUUCCCCGAUUUACACUCUUUGAACUUGAUUGCGGAUGAACUGAUUAGAUGUUUACAUGUGGAUUUGAAAUUAUGAUAAAAAUGAAUUAACAUAUAUAUUAUGAUCCCAUGUGCAUUUUGGCUCCAAGAUUAAACAAAUGUGGCUUUUGGGUGCCUUUAUUUUUAUAAUAUGCCCCUAUCAUAAAGUUCUUGGUGUUGCUGACUUUAGCAUAAACAAUGAAAUAAUUUGUUAAAUGAGCUCUCGACUAACAUUAUAUUGUGAAAUUUAAUACAAGGAACGUGUUUCAUUUCUGAUAAAUGUUAUAUUUACCACUUACACUCCUAUUACAUUUUUAAUUUCUUAUUUUAUCUAUUUUAUUAAUAGAUAAUAGAAUUAGUUGUUAAAAUAAGAACAAAACAUCAUUUAAGGCGUAAUUCUUUAAAAUUUAAUUUAAAAUCUGACGCAAGCCAUUGGAAUUAAAAUUUUUUUUGAUAAUUACCUAGGAUUAAUUCGUUUCAUCUUCUCUUUA